rnacentral:rRNA from 1 species
GAACGAUGAUCCCAGCUUGCUGGGGGAUUAGUGGCGAACGGGUGAGUAACACGUGAGUAACCUGCCCUUGACUCUGGGAUAAGCCUGGGAAACUGGGUCUAAUACCGGAUAUGACCGCUCUGACGACAUGUCAGGUGGUGGAAAGCUUUUGUGGUUUUGGAUGGACUCGCGGCCUAUCAGCUUGUUGGUGGGGUAAUGGCCUACCAAGGCGACGACGGGUAGCCGGCCUGAGAGGGUGACCGGCCACACUGGGACUGAGACACGGCCCAGACUCCUACGGGAGGCAGCAGUGGGGAAUAUUGCACAAUGGGCGCAAGCCUGAUGCAGCGACGCCGCGUGAGGGAUGACGGCCUUCGGGUUGUAAACCUCUUUCAGUAGGGAAGAAGCGAAAGUGACGGUACCUGCAGAAGAAGCGCCGGCUAACUACGUGCCAGCAGCCGCGGUAAUACGUAGGGCGCAAGCGUUAUCCGGAAUUAUUGGGCGUAAAGAGCUCGUAGGCGGUUUGUCGCGUCUGCUGUGAAAGACCGGGGCUCAACUCCGGUUCUGCAGUGGGUACGGGCAGACUAGAGUGAUGUAGGGGAGACUGGAAUUCCUGGUGUAGCGGUGAAAUGCGCAGAUAUCAGGAGGAACACCGAUGGCGAAGGCAGGUCUCUGGGCAUUAACUGACGCUGAGGAGCGAAAGCAUGGGGAGCGAACAGGAUUAGAUACCCUGGUAGUCCAUGCCGUAAACGUUGGGCACUAGGUGUGGGGGACAUUCCACGUUUUCCGCGCCGUAGCUAACGCAUUAAGUGCCCCGCCUGGGGAGUACGGCCGCAAGGCUAAAACUCAAAGGAAUUGACGG